UUGCUUCAGCAGCAAAUAUACUGAAAUUGGAACGAUACAGUGAAGAUUAGCAUGGCCCCUGUGUAAGAAUGCCACGCAAAUUCGUGAGGCAUUCCAUUAUUUU